rnacentral:rRNA from 1 species
GGCGAGUGGCGAACGGGUGAGUAAUACAUCGGAACGUGCCCUGUAGUGGGGGAUAACUAGUCGAAAGAUUAGCUAAUACCGCAUACGACCUGAGGGUGAAAGUGGGGGACCGCAAGGCCUCAUGCUAUAGGAGCGGCCGAUGUCUGAUUAGCUAGUUGGUGAGGUAAAGGCUCACCAAGGCGACGAUCAGUAGCUGGUCUGAGAGGACGAUCAGCCACACUGGGACUGAGACACGGCCCAGACUCCUACGGGAGGCAGCAGUGGGGAAUUUUGGACAAUGGGCGAAAGCCUGAUCCAGCAAUGCCGCGUGUGUGAAGAAGGCCUUCGGGUUGUAAAGCACUUUUGUCCGGAAAGAAAUGGCUCUGGUUAAUACCUGGGGUCGAUGACGGUACCGGAAGAAUAAGGACCGGCUAACUACGUGCCAGCAGCCGCGGUAAUACGUAGGGUCCAAGCGUUAAUCGGAAUUACUGGGCGUAAAGCGUGCGCAGGCGGUUGUGCAAGACCGAUGUGAAAUCCCCGAGCUUAACUUGGGAAUUGCAUUGGUGACUGCACGGCUAGAGUGUGUCAGAGGGGGGUAGAAUUCCACGUGUAGCAGUGAAAUGCGUA